rnacentral:tRNA from 1 species
GCCGACUUAGCUCAGUUGGUAGAGCAUCUGAUUUGUAAUCAGAGGGUCGGGCGUUC